CAGCUAUGGGUCAAGCCCGAGAUCUUUAGGAGAAGUCUUAUUGUGAGGGCGAGUUAUAUAACACCAUAGGGCUGGCCGUCCCAUAUGAAAAGAUUUUAUUAGAAUUGAAUGAAGCUUUGUUUAUAUAUUGAUAAUGACAGUAUAUAUAUCGUGUCUUGACUAAUUGCGUGCCAGCAGUCGCGGUAAUACGUAAGAGACUAGUGUUAUUCAUCUUAAUUAGGUUUAAAGGGUACCCAGACGGUCAAUAUAGCUUAUAAAAUGUUAGUACUUGACUAGAGUUUUAUGUAAGAGGGCAGUACUUGAGGAGGAGAGAUGAAAUUUCGUGAUACCAAAGGGACUCUGUAAAGGCGAAGGCAGCCCUCUAUGUAAAAACUGACGUUGAAGGACGAAGGCACAGAGAACAAACAGGAUUAGAUACCCAAGUAGUCUUUGCAGUAAAUGAUGAAUGCCAUAGGUUAGAUUAAUAGUUAAUGUUUAUAGACUAAUUGGUGGUUUAGUGGUUUUUUACUUUUACGGCU
rnacentral:rRNA from 1 species